rnacentral:rRNA from 1 species
CAGCCGCCGCGGUAAUACGAAGGGUGCAAGCGUUACUCGGAAUUACUGGGCGUAAAGCGUGCGUAGGCGGCUUGGUAAGUUAGAGGUGAAAGCCCGGAGCUCAACUCCGGAAUUGCCUUUAAGACUGCCGAGCUAGCAGGUGAGAGAGGUAAGUGGAAUUCCGAGUGUAGAGGUGAAAUUCGUAGAUAUUCGGAAGAACACCAGUGGCGAAGGCGGCUUACUGGCUCAUACUGGACGCUGAGGUGCGAAAGCGUGGGGAGCAAACAGGAUUAGAGACCCCGGUAGUCCCUGUCUCUUAAAC